rnacentral:snoRNA from 1 species
AUCCUUUUGUAGUUCGUAAGCAUGAUGACUGGAUUUUCACAUGCAUGCGUGAGAUGUGCCUCCCUCAAUCCUUGUUAUGCACUUGGCACAUUACCCGUCUGACA